GCUAAGUGUCAGGAUGGUGGAGUAG
rnacentral:piRNA from 1 species